GCCCGCCGGACCCUCACGGCCCCGCCCAGGGUCCCCGGCGUACCGCUAUUCGGCCUCCGCAGAGCGCGCCACUGGUGCGAGCACCGGGCGAGGAGCUGACCCUACCCGCUGACGUCUCCCUCACCGACCCCCUUCAAGCUACCACUCCCGAGGCUGGGACUUCUAAAAGCAGCAGCCCCACCCCGCAACUUGGGGUCCCAUUGUCCUUUCUGAGAGCUGCAGCCAAGGCCCCAAGGGCGGUAGCGAGGCGGGCUCUGUCUGGUGGCGAAGCGCAGGCGGUUCUGCAUCCCAGCAUCUCCCCGGGGAGGGGGGGGCGGGGGGAGCGGGCGUGGCCCUAGGACUAGCCUAGUCAUUCUGAGGAAAGAAAGGAUCGGGAGGUUUGAAAUCAGAAAAGGCGUUUCUCAGGGGCUGAGGUAGCCGUGGUGAGGAUGAAUCCCACGCGGGCCCUGGCACAUGGGCUUCGGCCCCAGGUCUGCGGUGGUGGGGGUCCCAGCCUUUUCCUGAGGCCAGAAGAGGACUGAAAGGAGUGGUUGCAUCAGGUCUCCCCCACCCUUCUGCCUCCUGCGGUUGCGGCUUUAUUGUGGCCUCUGCUCCCCUGACACCUGCAUUUCACUUAGCGGGAGAGGCGGUGGCCAACUCAGCACAGGCUGCGGACUCAGCGUGGUGACAGAUCCCUCAAGCUAGAAGACUUCUGUUAGGAGAAGCGUUAUCCUGUCAGUUGAUUACCCUGAGUUAUUAUUAUUGCUGUUUGACAGAUGAAAAACUGACAUGGAGAAAAGUUAGACAAUUCCUCCAAAUCACAAAGAUAAUGCCUAGAUCUAGAAGCCAAACAGAUGGGUUGAAGGUGAUACCUAAUUUUAACAUUUGAUGACUCCUGCCAAAUUACCCUCUGAAAAGAAUUUAACAAUUUAUAUUCCUUCCACAUCAUUGCCUCUUUCCCCACAUCAUAAUGUAAGUCUUCUUAUUUUUUACUCACCAAAGGGAGAGAAAUAUUUACUGUUUAAAACUGAGCACCUUUUAAACUGCUUUUCUUUCUUUAUUGGCUUAACUCUUCAAGAUGUGUCUUUUUUCUGAUUGGACUAUUGUUUUUAUCUUUACUGGCUUUUAGAAGCUCUUUAUAUAAUCUGGAUAAUAAGCUUUCGUCAUCAAUAUAUGUUGCAGAUAUUUCCUCUCAGUGUGUCAUCAGAUUUUGUAUUUAUGUCUAUUUAUUAUGUCUGUGACCAUACAAAUUAUUAAAUUUCUUAUAAGGUUAGGCUAAGCUUCUUUCUUUAUGAGUUAAUGGGGGUUGUCUGUCUUAGAAAGGAUCUCUCAUUCCAAACCUUAAAACUAUUCUCCUAAUAAUUUUAGAUUUGUUCAACUGAGAGAGUGCUUAACUCAGGAGAUCAAUAAAGGUUCAUAGAGGAAGAAGUAUUUGAAAUUGUCCUGGAAGAACAAUAUUUUUCAACAGGCAGAGAUGGAGAAAGGACAAUCUACAUGAACAGAACAGCAUGAGCAAAAAGAACUGGUUAGAGACUAUCCAUAGGAUAAAUUUCUAGCAAAUUGCUGAGUCCAGGAUAUGCAUGUUUGCAAUUUUGGAAGAUCUUAAAAACUUGCCUCCUAUAGGUGUUGUACCAGUAUAUACUUCUGCCAGUAAUAGAUGGGUGGGCUGCUGAUGCCUCAAAAUGUAAGUAUUUUCAAACUUUUAAAUUUUAGCCCAUUUAACAUAAUUUAAAAAUUAUGUCUCUGUGUGAUUUUAGUUCCAUUUCCCUUAUUAUAUAUAAGACUGAACAUCUUGGCAUAUGUUUAAGGGCCAUCUGCAUUUCCUUUUCUGUGCACUGUCAGCUUAUAUGCUUUGCCCAUUUUUUCUAGUAGAUGGUUAGUGUUUUUCUUAUUGAUUUGUAUAUAUUCUGUAUUACUCCUUUAUCACAUUGCCACAAAGAAAUGCCUGAGAUGGUGUCAUUUAUAGAGAAAAGAGGUUUAAUUGGCUCACAGUUCCACAGGCUAUACAGGAAGCAUGGCUGAGGAGG
rnacentral:lncRNA from 1 species